GAUGAACGCUGGCGGCGUGCUUAACACAUGCAAGUCGAACGGAACUACUCCAAUGAGAGUCUUCGGAAAGGAUUUGGUUUAGUUUAGUGGCGGACGGGUGAGUAACGCGUGGGUAACCUGCCCUAUACAGGGGGAUAACAGUUGGAAACGACUGUUAAUACCGCAUAAGCGCACAGGAGCGCAUGCUCCGGUGUGAAAAACUCCGGUGGUAUAGGAUGGACCCGCGUCUGAUUAGCUGGUUGGCGGGGUAACGGCCCACCAAGGCGACGAUCAGUAGCCGGCCUGAGAGGGUGAACGGCCACAUUGGGACUGAGACACGGCCCAAACUCCUACGGGAGGCAGCAGUGGGGAAUAUUGCACAAUGGGGGAAACCCUGAUGCAGCGACGCCGCGUGAGCGAAGAAGUAUCUCGGUAUGUAAAGCUCUAUCAGCAGGGAAGAAAAUGACGGCACCUGACUAAGAAGCCCCGGCUAACUACGUG
rnacentral:rRNA from 1 species